GAUGAACGCUAGCGGCAGGCCUAACACAUGCAAGUCGAGGGGCAGCGGGGAAGUAGCUUGCUACUUUUGCCGGCGACCGGCGCACGGGUGCGUAACGCGUAUGCAACCUACCUUAGACAGGGGGAUAAUUCGGAGAAAUCUGGUCUAAUACCCCAUAACAUCAGAACCGGCAUCGGUUUUGGUUGAAAGUUCCGACGGUUUAAGAUGGGCAUGCGUUGUAUUAGAUAGUUGGUGAGGUAACGGCUCACCAAGUCUACGAUACAUAGGGGGACUGAGAGGUUAACCCCCCACACUGGUACUGAGACACGGACCAGACUCCUACGGGAGGCAGCAGUGAGGAAUAUUGGUCAAUGGACGCAAGUCUGAACCAGCCAUGCCGCGUGCAGGAUGACGGCUCUACGAGUUGUAAACUGCUUUUGUAUGAGGGUAAACCCGGGUACGUGUACCCGGUUGAAAGUACCAUACGAAUAAGGAUCGGCUAACUCCGUGCCAGCAGCCGCAGUAACAC
rnacentral:rRNA from 1 species